rnacentral:rRNA from 1 species
UAAUACGUAGGAGGCGAGCGUUAUCCGGAUUUACUGGGCGUAAAGGGGGCGUAGGCGGCUUUUCAAGUUGGAUGUGAAAUCUCCCUGCUUAACGGGGAGGGGUCAUUCAAUACUGUUAAGCUUGAGGGCAGCAGAGGAAGGUGGAAUUCCCGGAGUAGUGGUGAAAUGCGUUGAUAUCGGGAGGAACACCAGUGGCGAAGGCGGCCUUCUGGGCUGUUCCUGACGCUGAGGUCCGAAAGCGCGGGGAGCGAACAGGAUUAGAUACCCUGGUAGUCCGCGCAGUAAACGAUGGACACUGGGUAUAGGGAGUAUCGACCCUCUCUGUGCCGUAGCUAACGCGUUAAGUGUCCCGCCUGGGGAGUACGGCCGCAAGGCUA